rnacentral:rRNA from 1 species
AGCGAACGCUGGCGGCAGGCCUAACACAUGCAAGUCGAACGAACCUUUCGGGGUUAGUGGCGGACGGGUGAGUAACACGUGGGAACGUGCCUUUAGGUUCGGAAUAACUCAGGGAAACUUGUGCUAAUACCGAAUGUGCCCUUCGGGGGAAAGAUUAAUCGCCUUUAGAGCGGCCCGCGUCUGAUUAGCUAGUUGGUUGAGGUAAUGGCUCACCAAGGCGACGAUCAGUAGCUGGGCUGAGAGGAUGAUCAGCCACAUUGGGACUGAGACACGGACCAAACUCGUACGGGAGGCAGCAGUGGGGAAUCUUGCGGAAUGGGGGAAAGCGUGACGAAGCCAUGCCGGGUGAAUGAUGAAGGUCUUAGGAUUGUAAAAUUCUUUCACCGGGGACGAUAAUGACGGUACCCGGAGAAGAAGCCCCGGCUAACUUCGUG